GACGUAGGGCGCGAGGCGUUGUCCGGAUUUAUUGGGCGUAAAGAGCGCGUAGGCGGCUUGUCGCGUCGACUGUGAAAUCCCGCGGCUCAACUGCGGGUCUGCAGUCGAUACGGGCAGGCUAGAGUUCGGUAGGGGAGACUGGAAUUCCUGGUGUAGGCGGUGAAAUGCGCAGAUAUCAGGAGGAACACCGAUGGCGAAGGCAGGUCUCUGGGCCGAUACUGACGUGAGGAGCGAAAGCGUGGGGAGCGAACAGG
rnacentral:rRNA from 1 species